ACCAGUGACAAAUAGCUGCCUUCUGUACUGUCAUAGGUGUGUUGGACUCGGUGAAGCUUCCUGAGGCACCGUACAAAAUACAAACGACAGGAAGUCAAGGUUGUGGUUAGUUAACAUCACAUCGGUAUGCGGUAGAAUGGAGACAAUUUUGGACAGAAAGGGAGAAUUAGACGACUUCUUAAAUCCCGGUCUGCUAUAGCGCCGUCGAACGUGGAAGCCCUGGGGUUGGAUAGGCUGAGAGGGAUGGUAGAUGAACAGGAAGUUCUUGACAUGCCAGAUGAAAUCGGUGAACAUAGGAAUAACCGUUCAGACAGUGUGCGUUAAUCGUGGCGGAGAGACACAUUUAGCCCGCUGAUGACCGCGACACGCACCACGUAGGAUUUCUAUUAUAUCGCUACGUCGCGAAGGACUUCUUCGGGGCUCACUUCUUCAGCUGGUGAAGAUUUCUGUCGCUUUCCAGUGGAAUCCAGUCACCGUUAGCAUCGAAAUGGAAGGCACAGCGAACGACACGUGGGACAAAUAUGACAACUACAGCGAUGAGUUUCACAGCGCCGACUAUCAAAUGUACCACCUGACAACCACGAUUGAUCUAUACUCACUUCCUGUCAUUUUGGCCUUUGGAGUUCCGGCGAAUAUCGUUGCGGUGUUAGUCUUUUCCAUCAAGUCUUUCCGACAAGCUUCCUGU